AAAAAAAAAAGCCUCCGAUAUCGAAUUUUCUUGUUUUUGCCUUCUUCUCCGUCUUCUUCUGUCUGUCGGAAUGACAAAACCGGAGCUAAGGAGCCGUGUUUCAAUCCGACUAGUGGAAGAGAGACUCUAUGUUUGAAAACCCGAGGUUCAUCAGAGAGAGGUCCAUAAUCACCGAUCUCUCUCUCUCUCCCCGAAGCUGACACUAUAUUGUCUCUAGUGUUUCUGGCUUUCUAUGAAGUUUCCGGUGGACCUUUUGGUCUGGAUGAUUCUGUGAAAUCAGGUGGUGGUCCUCUCUUAUCUCUGCUUUAGGGUUCUUGAUUUCCCCUCUGUUUGGAUCUCUUCAGCAUUUUUUUGUCCGUUUUGGGGAUUCCAAGAUGGGUUUUGGAAAUGGUUUAGUGGUGUUAGGCAUUACAUUCUCUCUCACUUAUUUUGAUAAAACUAUAGAGGAUUUGCUGCUGCAUAUUGUUGGCUUGUGCUGGCAGUUUCUUUUUUUCGCUAUGUCCCUUUCGUUGUAAUGGCUUUACUUGCGGUGGUUCAGGCCUAAGCGUUGGCUGUUUUGUGGGUACUCGAGAGUUUGAUUAGUUGAAGAGGGUCUUUUAAUACCAUGUUUUGGAAUCUGUAACUAUUGGGACAAAACUAGUACCCUUGCAGGAGAGUUUAAAGAGUCCCGGAAAGGCUUUGUUUUUUUUGGAGCGGUUUUGUUCGUCAUGUGGUCCUAUUUGAUUCCCCUCAUGCCAGGUAGUAGGGACUGGAUCUUUAAGCUCAUCCUCUUCCGGAUAGUGGAGAGAUACGUAUUUUUCCUGAGGUUGGGAUGCUCAUUUGGAGGUGUUUGGCUCAAGGGAUGGAUACAAAAUAACUGCUGCUGCAAUGUCUAAUCUUAGAUUGUUUGAACCCAAAGGUCAAAGUAUGGGACACCAACGCUCAGUAUUCUGUGCUCAGCUACAGGAAUCAUCAUAUUCCUCUCUACUGGAUGAGCUUCCAAGAGAUCAUUGAGUUUCUGAAUUUCUUCGUACGCGCAUCAGGAAUGCUUCUGGAACUCGCAGCCUUUUGUCAAACAUAGGGAUUAGGCUACUGGAUCUCCACCCACUCCUUAUUGAGUUCCCGAGAACUCAUUUGGAUUUUCAAAUGUCUGUGCCUGCCUCCUUCUUUGCAUUUCAUUCUUGGUGAUGGUUUUUGCCGCUUCAAAGACAUUUCUUAUCAGUGGCGCGGUUAUCAGUCUGCCUGUACCCGUUCUUAACACACUUGCAAACGAGAAACGAUGGGCGUGAUUUAUCCGGGAGGAAAACAAGACCAGUUUCAGGAGAUACAUUAGAGUCACAGUUGAAUUUGAUAUCCAAGAAUGCGGAGAACAAGUCUUUUUAAGUUUAUUUGCAUUUGAUAUCUUCUCUGCUGUUUGAAACAGCCUGUUUCUCAUCUUUUGAUCAUUGGAUCUCUUUCUCUGGCUUGGAGCCUUGGAGACAUGUACCAUGUAGUUAGUUAAUCCAAGAAUGCGGUAUGAGAAUAUAUGUGGUUAAUGUUUCUGCGACUUUGGAUU